rnacentral:tRNA from 1 species
AGCGUUGUAGCUCAAUGGCAGAGCAUCCCAGAUAGUUAUUUAGGGAAGGACGUGAGUUCAAUUCUCAUCAACGGUA